AAUAAUUUAAGAGAGCUUUCUUCAGUCCACUCAUGGAUGAGGCAAGGGUUUGGAUUAGCUGCCGACUCAUUCAUUCAAACACAGUAGAAAGAGGAGCAUUUUGGUUAUCCUAUUGUGAAUGUGUGAAUGAAGCGGGAGAUAAUAUUCAUCCUUUCUUUUCUGUGCUUGGACUGAAGGGAGCUCCUUUUUGUUAUCUG
rfam:Citrus clementina cultivar Clemenules unplaced genomic scaffold scaffold_5, whole genome shotgun sequence.